AAAACUGACAGUGAUCAUCCUUCUCAUCACUGUCACUUUCGUCCUACUGAUUCAAAAUUCACUACUAGUUCUAAAAGUUGGCAAUAAUUAGCCACCUCACCACUGCCAUUUUUCUUCUACAGCUUCAAAAAUAGCAAUAAUAAUGUUUUUCAACUAGGAAUAAAGAUUUUAUAUAAGUUUGGGUGUCUUUCAAUGCUUAUUGGUACUUCGCAAGCACACAAUUCUUGAACAAGCGCAUGGUUAGUUGUAUUGGGUCAAUAAUAUUUAAUGAAGUAGAUUAGAAAAUACAAUUAGAGUAUCAACUAGAAGGAAUUAGUUAUAACAUGACAAAUAAACUAAUGUUUCUACAAAUAUGGCAAACAACUUUCAAGACAUGAUAAAACAUGACAACAAGAAUAAGAGCUACUAGAAGACUAUAAUAUGUUAGAGCCAUUCCAUCUUUACCUUUGACAUAUAAUUAUAAGGUGAUCUAUGAAUAAAUCGUCAUGCACUACUAUGAUCUAUAUAUCAAGGGAAAACAGUAAAAAGUUGCCAUUGUUUGGCCCAAUUUUAGAUGUUUUGAACAACCUCAUCACUGUUGGUUCAUGUCACUGUCCGUUCACAUCAUUGUCGGUUCAUAAAUCAGUAGUGAUAAGCCCCCUCAUUAAUGCCACUUCCUUUCUGCAAGUUAAAAAUCAUAGCAAUGGUGUUUUUCAACUCACAGUAAAGACUUGAUCCUGCUUAGCGUUUUAGUGUCGUCCCAUGCUUGUUGGUACUCCACAAGCACACAAUUCUAAGGCAAGUGCAUGGUUAGUUUUAUUGGGUCAAUAAUAUCUAAUGAAAUGGA
rnacentral:lncRNA from 7 species